rnacentral:rRNA from 1 species
AGAGUUUGAUCCUGGCUCAGGAUGAACGCUAGCGGCAGGCUUAACACAUGCAAGUCGAGGGGCAGCGGGGAGGAAACUUGCUUUCUCCGCCGGCGACCGGCGCACGGGUGAGUAACACGUAUGCAACCUGCCCCUGUCAGGGGGACAACCCGCCGAAAGGCGGGCUAAACCCGCGUACAUGCCACCGGGGCAUCCCGGAGGCAGGAAAGGCUUCGGCCGGACAGGGAUGGGCAUGCGGCGCAUUAGGCAGUAGGCGGGGUGACGGCCCACCUAACCGACGAUGCGUAGGAGUUCUGAGAGGAAGGUCCCCCACACUGGUACUGAGACACGGACCAGACUCCUACGGGAGGCAGCAGUGAGGAAUAUUGGUCAAUGGUCGGGAGACUGAACCAGCCAAGCCGCGUGAGGGAGGAAGGUACAGAGUAUCGUAAACCUCUUUUGUCAGGGAACAAAGGCGGGGACGUGUCCCCGGAUGAGUGUACCUGAAGAAAAAGCAUCGGCUAACUCCGUGCCAGCAGCCGCGGUAAUACGGAGGAUGCGAGCGUUAUCCGGAUUUAUUGGGUUUAAAGGGUGCGCAGGCGGUCUGUUAAGUCAGCGGUCAAAGCCCGGGGCUCAACCCCGGCCCGCCGUUGAAACUGGCAGUCUCGAGUUGGAGAGAAGUAUGCGGAAUGCGCGGUGUAGCGGUGAAAUGCAUAGAUAUCGCGCAGAACUCCGAUUGCGAAGGCAGCAUGCCGGCUCCACACUGACGCUGAGGCACGAAAGCGUGGGUAUCGAACAGGAUUAGAUACCCUGGUAGUCCACGCAGUAAACGAUGAAUGCUGGCUGUCCGGGGGGACUGACCCCUGGGUGGCGAAGCGAAAGCGAUAAGCAUUCCACCUGGGGAGUACGCCGGCAACGGUGAAACUCAAAGGAAUUGACGGGGGCCCGCACAAGCGGAGGAACAUGUGGUUUAAUUCGAUGAUACGCGAGGAACCUUACCCGGGCUCAAACGGGGAGUGGCGCAGGCAGAGACGCCUGUUUCCCACGGGACACUCCCCGAGGUGCUGCAUGGUUGUCGUCAGCUCGUGCCGUGAGGUGUCGGCUUAAGUGCCAUAACGAGCGCAACCCCCGCGUGCAGUUGCUAACAGUCAACGCUGAGGACUCUGCACGGACUGCCGGCGCAAGCCGCGAGGAAGGCGGGGAUGACGUCAAAUCAGCACGGCCCUUACGUCCGGGGCGACACACGUGUUACAAUGGGUGGUACAGCGGGAAGCCAGGCGGCGACGCCGAGCGGAACCCGAAAUCCACUCUCAGUUCGGAUCGGAGUCUGCAACCCGACUCCGUGAAGCUGGAUUCGCUAGUAAUCGCGCAUCAGCCAUGGCGCGGUGAAUACGUUCCCGGGCCUUGCACUCACCGCCCGUCAAG